rnacentral:rRNA from 1 species
GACGAACGCUGGCGGCGUGCCUAAUACAUGCAAGUCGAGCGGAUCUUCAUUAGCUUGCUUUUGGAGAUCAGCGGCGGACGGGUGAGUAACACGUGGGCAACCUGCCUGUAAGACUGGGAUAACUUCGGGAAACCGGAGCUAAUACCGGAUAAUCCUUUCCCUCACAUGAGGGGAAGCUGAAAGACGGUUUCGGCUGUCACUUACAGAUGGGCCCGCGGCGCAUUAGCUAGGUGGUGAGGUAACGGCUCACCAAGGCGACGAUGCGUAGCCGGCCUGAGAGGGUGAUCGGCCACACUGGGACUGAGACACGGCCCAGACUCCUACGGGAGGCAGCAGUAGGGAAUCUUCCGCAAUGGACGAAAGUCUGACGGAGCAACGCCGCGUGAGCGAUGAAGGCCUUCGGGUCGUAAAGCUCUGUUGUCAGGGAAGAACAAGUACCGGGGUAACUGCCGGUACCUUGACGGUACCUGACCAGAAAGCCACGGCUAACUACAUGCCAGCCGCCGCCGUAAUAC